AGCGAACGCUGGCGGCAGGCCUAACACAUGCAAGUCGAACGAACCUUUCGGGGUUAGUGGCGGACGGGUGAGCAACACGUGGGAACGUGCCUUUAGGUUUGGAAUAACGCAGGGAAACAUGUGCUAAUACCGACGGUGCUCUUCCGUGGGAAGUGUUAUCGCCGUUAGAGCGGCUGGCGACCGAUUAGCUAGUUGGGUGAGGUAAUGGCGCACCAAGGCUGCUAUCGGUAGCUGGUCAGAGAGGAUGAUCAGCCACAUUGGGUGUGAGACACGGCCCGGACUCCUACGGGAGGGAGCAGUGGGGGAUCUUGCGCAAUGGGGGAAGGCCUGAAGCAGCCAUGCCGGGUGAAUGAUGAAGGUCGUAGGAUAGGAAAAUUAUUUAACCGGGGACGAUAAUGACGGUACCCGGAGAAGAAGCCCCGGCUAACUUCGUG
rnacentral:rRNA from 1 species